AAUGGGUGGUGAAUUCCAUCUAAAGCUAAAUAUUGGCGAGAGACCGAUAGCGAACAAGUACCGUGAGGGAAAGAUGAAAAGCACUUUGGAAAGAGAGUUAAACAGUACGUGAAAUUGCUGAAAGGGAAACGCUUGAAGUCAGUCGCGUCGGCCGGAACUCAGCCUUGCUUUCGCUUGGUGUACUUUCCGGUCGACGGGCCAGCAUCGAUUUCGAUCGUCGGAAAAAGGCAGAGGGAAUGUGGCACCUUCGGGUGUGUUAUAGCCCUCUGUUGCAUACGACGGUUGGGAUCGAGGUUCGCAGCACGCCUUUAUGGUCGGGGUUCGCCCACGUUCGUGCUUAGGAUGCUGGCGUAAUGGCUUUAAACGACCCGUCUUGAAACACGGACCAAGGAGUCUAACAUGCCUGCGAGUGUUUGGGUGGAAAACCCGAGCGCGUAAUGAAAGUGAAGGUCGGGACCUCUGUCAUGGAGGGCACCGACGCCCGGACCUGAAGUUCUCUGACGGCUCCGCGGUAGAGCAUGUAUGUUGGGA
rnacentral:ncRNA from 1 species